rnacentral:rRNA from 1 species
UGGGUAGUCCGCACGAGCGCACCUUGCCCUAUGUUGCCAGCGGUUCGGCCGGGGACUCAUAGGGGACUGCCGGUGAUAAACCGGAGGAAGGUGGGGACGACGUCAAGUCAUCAUGGCCCUUACGCUUGGGGCUACACACGUGCUACAAUGGCCAGCACAAAGGGCUGCCAACCUGCGAAGGUGAGCGAAUCCCAAAAAGCUGGUCUAAGUUCGGAUUGCAGUCUGCAACUCGACUGCAUGAAGUCGGAAUCGCUAGUAAUCGUAGAUCAGCAACGCUACGGUGAAUACGUUCCCGGGCCUUGUACACACCGCCCGUCACGCCAUGGAAGCCGGGAGUGCCCGAAGUCCGUGUCCUAACCCUUGGGAGGGAGCGGCCGAAGGCAAGCUCGGUAACUGGGGCGAAGUCGUAACAAGGUAGCCGUAGGGGAACCUGCGGCUGGAUCACCUCCUUUCU